rfam:Oryza glaberrima chromosome 3 Oglab03_unplaced063_4, whole genome shotgun sequence.
UAUAAACCAUAAGUUUUCGUACCUAAUUUUAAUCAUCUGUCUUAUUUAAUUUUUUUUAUAAUUAAUAUGUUUAUUGUUACGAGAUAAUAAAAUAUGAAUAAUACUUUAUGCGUGAUUUAUGUUUUCAAUUUUUUUAAAAAAAUUUCAAAUAAGACGGUCAAUAAAAAUUAGGCACGGAAAAUUACGGUUGCACUUAAA